AGGGUCGGUUGUGGUAAUACUAUGAAAGUUAGAUGCCAAUCACCAUAUAAAGAAGAAAAAACCUGGAAGGAGGAGAGACGACUAGAAACUAUUUGGUUGUCCGUUUUAUGUGUGGAUUAAUUGGUGGAGUAGAGGACCUUGUCCAUUUCAGAGACAGAGGAAGUUGAUGAGGACGAGUCCCUGCUGCAGUCCCCUGGUUGAUUCCCCCUCGCUGCUGGAGUCUCCGCCUGAUUCGAGCAUGUAGCCUACUGCUGGUUGCUGCUGCUUCUUGGCUGGGGGAACGAAGAGGUUCUGGAGCCGGCUGUAAAGGCCCUCCGUAGGAACCCCUGGGUCCCUACUCGGCUCUUCAACAUGGGCAUCUUCACUGGACAGGGAGAGGGAGAUUAGCUUGGGACAUUCGUUUGGCAUGUAAAACUAGACAACAGUAGAAAACACAAACUAUCAUCAUGGAACGACAAAUAUAUAAUAGAAAAAGACAUCCACCAUACACUCUUUGAAAAAAGGGCUCCAAAAGGGUUCUUUGGCUGUCCACAUAGGAUAACCUUUUUUGGUUCCAGAUAGAA